rnacentral:snRNA from 1 species
GUAUUUAAAGUGCUGAAAGUGGAAAGUGCCAACCAAGAAUUCUAUAUCUUUCCCAGGGUGAGGCUUAUCCAUUGCACUCCGGAUGUGCUGACCCCUGCGAUUUCCCCAAAUGUAGGAAACUCGACUGCGUAAUUUGUGGUAGUGUGGGACUGCGUUCAUGCUCUCCCCUG